UUGACCUUGAACAUUUUGCAAAAGAAAAGAAAAUUACACUGUGCGAAAGAACAUGAUCGCAAUAACUUUCUAUAAAAAGUUGCAUAAAAUCGACCUUGCAAUUUUAACAAAAACAAACUUGAAAAAUCUGCCAAACAUGAGAUUUGGCGGUGGCCAAAUGCGAACACCAUACUAGCGUGUUUCAGUAAGCGCGUGGGAAAUAUGACGUCAUACGAUAACUUCCGCACCGCCAUAUUUUCAAUUCCAAAGAUGUAAACAAAAUUGUGCAGGCAGGUUGAUGCUUUAAACAGAGAAAUUUUAAGCUGUAAGUUGGUUUUAUAUAUUAAAAACUUGUUUAUGUGAAUAAAAAGAGCUGCAUAGAUAUUGACAACUGCCUAAAAUUCUUGUAUCGAUUUAAAACCAUCUAGAGGUCAACGGGUAAGAUAAGAUAUCACAUGGUGUCAUUGCAAUUUGUAUAUUUUUUUUAAAAAAUGAGAAUAUAUAAAAGUUUAGAACGAUCAAUGUUGAUAUUUUAAUUUGAAAUUAUUAGAAAAAAGCCGAAAUUUGAAAAAAAAAUGCAUUCUUUGAACAAGAGUUUUGGUACAAAAAUAAAUGUACGGAAGCGGAUAAGGGCCAUUUUACAGAUGAAACAUAUUUAUAAUUUAUUGAAUCAAGUGCCACGCGGAUCGAAUUAACUUGAUUUCCUGUAUGUUUUCGACGAGGUAUUUGUAUAAAUAAUAUUUUUGUGAGUUUGUACUGACUGAUUUGAUUUGAACUUACUGUUUUUUCUCAUUUAAGAUGACAACUUGAGCCGGUUGUGUUGUGUCUGGUGCCCAUUACCUGUAUCUACUAAUGACUGGUUAGCGCUUGCAAAUGAAUGUAUCUUUACGCCGAAAUAGAAUGUACAAUUUAAAACUGUGAAAUUCUUUAUUCUUUAUUAUUGAGUAAUAAUUAUACCUUUAAGAAAAAAAAGUAAAUAUUAUUUUUCUCUAAGCAGACUGUAUAAGAUUGAAUGAAAGUUUUUAAAGGAAGUUUUAGAAAAACUAUAACUGUGAUAAAUUGCACCAUAUUACUCAAUAAUAAGAUAUGGAACGACAAUAUGCAUUUUAUUUUACAGUUAGACACGUUGAUCCUGUGUGACAGAUAUGAAGAUAGGCGGUGCACAUUAUAUUAAAUCUAGCUAGACACGUUGAUCAUGUGAGACAGAUAUGCUGCAGAGGGAAGACUGAUUACAACGAAAUUGUUUGAAAACGUCCAUUUAAAAGAUAGGCAGUGCACAUUAUAUUACAUCUAGGUAAUUCAGUUACAACAUGUCGAUUCUGGAUAGAGCAUUAACACUGAUUUAUCUAUUUCUGUGUAGCUAAUUUAAUACCUAAGUACAAUGAAACAUACAUUAAAUUGUAUAAACAAAGUAAACAAUCUGAAAUACAUUAAUGUGAUAAACAGUGUAACCUCACAGGAGCGAAGCAGUGUGUGUAUGAAAAUAUACUUCUGUACGUUUUGUACUAAUAAGUUCAGUAAAAAACAUGUUACAAUGCAAUGGUAUAUUUUAUUUUACAGUUAUGCAUGCUGACUCUGUGUGACUGACAUGCUGAAGUCGGAAAAUCAAACCAGUGUGUUUGAGUACAUUGCUUACUAUAUGUCCCUCUGAACGAUUGCACAAUGCUAUAAAGUUAACUAGUAAUCGACAAAGAACUAUGGAAGAGUGUCCUAUUUGCAAAGGGCAAUUGGAAGAUGGACAACCAGUUGUAUGUCGCCGUAAGAAGGGGAGUGACGGAAUCAAUAAUGCAAGCAUAGCAAGAGGAACUAACAUAUUUACAUGUAAAGGACAGUAUGUACACGUGCAGUGUCGCCGUGACUUUAUACAUAUUCGAAACUCUUUGACGGACAGUGAUAUAAAUAAUAAUCAUGUUACAUCUAGGUCUUUACGUGCAGAAGAUUCAUUUGAUUUUAAAACAAAAUGUCUUUUUUUGUACAAAAAAUGCUAAAGUAAGUGUGAACAAACGUGGGUAUGAUGUCUUUCCUGUUCGUAGUUUCGAAUUUCAGAAAACUGUACCUAAAUUAUGUAAUGAAAGAAAAGACGAGUGGGCAGUCAACGUAUUAAGCAGACUUUCCCUUGCGAUAGACCUUCCAGCAGCUGAAGCAGUUUACCAUCAGACGUGCAAUGCCAACUUCAGGACAGGUAGGCAAAUUCCUAAAUGUUUUCAAGACACAGAAGCAGACCUACCACCAGUACCGGAAUCAUUGCUUCAGAUUAUUCGUUGUAACUGCAAAACGAAUUGUGAUUCAAGACGAUGCAGUUGCAGGAAACAUGGACUGCAGUGUUCAGCUGGUUAUGGUGACUGUAGAGGUACAAACUGCACUAACUUUCCUACAACAGCAGACAUUGAUAUAGAAGACUAUGAAUAGGCUUUCCUGUGUUUGAGAAGUAAAAAAACAAACGAGGGAAUCAGUAUGAAAUAAUUAUGUAAAAUUUAUCAAAUAGUAUGCUGAAAAUGUUUUCAUCAUCUUCUAAAUAACAUAUAUGCACAAUAUUCGAUGUGUUGUGCACUUUGUAUUUAAUUAAAAUUAUUGCUGAUGGAAUGCAGCUA